UGGAUAUUGCGUAUACAAGAAAUCCAAAGGAAAGCAAAUGAACUUGAACAGUGACUCUGUCAGUGGACAAGCAGCUGCCAACCAGAUGGUGCCCCUUACUGCAUAGUGAUGGAAACAAUUAAAAACACACAUCAAAAGGUCAAUAAUUUGAACUGAUGUUGUUGUGAACUGGAUUAAUCGAGUGUGCACCGAUGUUGAACUGACACUGCUGCCUGGCGUGUUGGAUAAGUAUAUCGCAACGCACAGACCCCGCUGAAUUAUUCCAAAUGUUCUUGAUUUAAAAAAGAAUCUAUUGAAAGUGAGUGCAUGGGAAGUUAAGUUACAAAGCUUCAGGCCAGAUACAAACACAUUCUUGCAAAGCAAGGUCUGUGAAACUUCGAUCAACUACGCAAACUAUGGAAGUCAUUUUUUAUCUUUAUAUUGAGUUUUUCUGGAAACUUAAUUUAUUUAACAAUUGAUAGCUACUGUGCUGGUUCCACUGAAUCUAUUAGAGCUGUUUGAGUUAUUUUUGUCAAAGGCUUUUGUUUAUUUCUAAAUUUAUAAUAUGGAAUUUCUCACAAGAACUAAUUCCUUUUUGUUAGAUGAUAUUUCUCCGGAUGGUACAGCUAGUUUUGUUUGUGCUGUUUAAAAUAAUUAUUGAGGAUCCAGUGCCCGUGUCCCCUUGGUCAGUAGUUUGUUGUCAUGAUGUGUCUCACAUCUGGGCAGAUGUUGGAUGGCCAGUAUGGAUCGUGCAUGUAUUAAUCAUGCAGACUGGAGCAGCUGCCAUUCCAAUCUCACAGUAAAAUUACGUUAAUAAAACUCAUU